CUUCACUUUUCUAGUCUUCUACCUGUAAAACUCUAAGAGUGAAACAGCAAAUCCUGUUCUUGAAGAGGAAUUAUUAAAGAAUCAAAUCUUAUAACUAACUGUCAUAUACACACAAUACUGAGUGAUGAGGGAGAGGCAGUGACGAAGAGGAGGUGGGUUACACGAAGGCAUCUGCAAGGGAGAAUGUCAGAUGUCAUGUGAAAGUGAGAUUUAAAGUAGGCGGAGUGAAGGCUGAUUGGGCUGAAGAAGGCUGGCAGAAAGAUGGUUGGACUAGAUCGGUGACAUCACAAUUAGCUUGACAGCGUAGGAAAGUGAAAGUGACUUAAAGCUUAGAUUAGUCACCAACACCUGGGAAAGCAGACAGAUGUAGACUUCAGAUCUUCCUCAUCGAACUUACACAUAAGCUUCAUUACAACAGCACGACUAGAGUAGAAGUCUGAGUUCUGAACCGACAUGCAUGCAGCCCAGACCUUUUACCUCCUAAAAAGGUUUGGAGCAUCAUGAAACAAUAAAUGCAACAAUGAAGACCGAGGACUCUUGAGCAGCUAGAAUCCUAUAUCAUAUUUUCUCAGUUCCACACAUUUACAGACUGUUGUUAAAGGAGGACGGGAUGCUACACAGUGGUAAACACGGCCCUGUGCCUACUUUUCUGAGGCUUGUUCGUGUCAUCAAACUUAAAAUGAGCCAAUAUUUGUCUUGGUAUGGUACAUUUUCUCAGUUUAAACAUUUGCUAUGUUUUGUUCUAUUGUGGCGUUGUAGGUUUUAUUUAUUUAAUUUUUGUUUUAAUGUGGAAGUUUUGUGUCAUUCUACAAUAUCACAGUUCAGACUCAUUUCUAACAAUUACUGUUUGUUUGUUAAGUCUUACUUCACUUUACUUUGUUUGGGAACUCUACUGCUAUUUCAGUGUGCAUCUUAAUGUCUAGUCUGUUCUCAGUGACCAUUUUUACACAGUGUUACACACAGCACACUUUUGUCUUCAGCGUUUAAUUGUACCAGAGGACAUGAACUUCCUGUCACGCUUAAAAAAUGAGUGUCUGCACAUCAAGCCUUGCCUGAUUGAUGACCUCCAUUCAUGUGACAAAAAGGAAUUUAGCUUCAGAUUCCACAGAGUGACUGACUAAAUAUGUCAGGUAUGUUUAGUGACCACGAAUAGCUUUGACUGAUGUCAGCCAACAGGUUGCAUCGGAUUUGGAUAAGUUUUGAAUUGUGACAUUUUUACUUCUUUUAAGUACAAGUAGAGUAAAAUUUGAGGAAACAUAUUAAGAGAGAAUUUACAAGCAAUGAAUACAAUGAGUUUUUUUCCUCCACGUGGACCAGCUUGUGUAACAGGUUAUGACACUCCUAUUUACUGUUAGUCUUUAAAUGUACACUAUUCACUGCUACUAUUUGCAUGUCACUUUUAAAAGUUUUAAUAAAGAUGUUCAGUGUUUUCUGUAUUACAGCUUUACUUUUAAUGGUGUUUCCAAAACACAGAAGUAUAUCAGAGAAAUGUAUUGGAGCUCCACCUUUGUGCAUUGGUGGAAAAGUUUCGGGUUUGACUGAAAUGAAACUGAAAAACUGACAAUGCAUUAAAAAGAUGCAACAACAGGUGACAGGUCACACAGUGGAGCAUCGACAUCAGAAGUACAGUCCCCUACAGAUAUUCAACUCAUCCAACAUGGAGAACUUUUGUCACUGCGGCCGGUCUUUCGCAACUUACCAUGGCCUGAGAGUUCACCAGGGAAGGAUGGGCUGCACACCAAAGGGAAUGAGGAUCCCUGAAAGUGGGCAAUCUAGUUUCCAUCCCAUGCCAAGCUUUAUGGGAUCUCUAAUCAGACAAGAGCCUUCGAUGGGCAUGUGUAUGAGUCUGGAUUAUAGGGCUCAAGAGAGACAAGACAGAGAGAGAGAACGAGUGAGACAAGAACGAGAGAGACAAGAA